UGAACCCAUUUGGCCUGAACGGAAAUCGUGGGUUGUUGCCGUCGUGGGUUGUCGCCGAUCUGUGUGACUGGCGGUCGCCGAUCUGAGUGGAAGACAUGGCCAUCGAUUACCUGCACAGAGAAUGGAAAGUCACGGAACCGAUCCAGCCAAACGUGAUACACCAGUCAAACGUUAAGCUCCGGCGAGACCAGUUGUUCCAGUAGUAGGAGGAAAAAAGUGUUUUUUUUGUGGGCUUGACUCUACGCAGGGGCGGACGAGUGCAGUACCGUCGGUGGCUUGUAAGAUUGAGUAUUUGCAUUUGGCUCCCUCUCAGGAUGAGAAAUGGGAAAGAACACCCGUACACGCUAACACAAUGUAGCUCGAAUCCCCCAUCCAUG